UAUUGUAUAGAAGUGAGAAUGCCGGUGUGAGUAGCGAGAUGUAGGUGAGAAUCCUACACACCGAAAGCCCAAGGAUUCCAGGGGAAGGUUCGUCCGCCCUGGGUAAGUCGGGACCUAACGCGAGGCCGAAAGGCGUAGUGGAUGGAAAGCAGGCGAAAGAUUCCUGCACCCGUAUAUGGAGCGAAGGAGUGACGGAGACGGAUAGUGUGACCCUCUUAAUGGAUUGAGGGCGAAGCGAAGCGGCUGGUUACCAGGCAAAUCCGGUAACCAUAAGGCUAGAUCGUGACAGGUAAGCGAAAUCUUAGGAAAGUAGCGAAGCACAUGAUGACGGCUUCCAGGAAAAGCUUCUGGCAAUGCAUUCGGCCCGUACCAAAACCGACACAGGUGGGCAGGGAGAGAAUCCCGAGGUGAGCGAGAGAACUGUUGCCAAGGAACUCGGCAAAAUGACUCCGUAAGUUAGCGAGAAGGAGUGCUUAAGCAAUUAAGCCGCAGUGAAGAGGCCCAAGCGACUGUUUAACUAAAACACAGCUCUCUGCGAAGUCGCAAGACGAAGUAUAGGGGGUGACACCUGCCCGGUGCUGGAAGGUUAAGAGGAUCUGUUAAGAGCGAUCUGAAGCAGUGAUCCGAAGCCCCAGUGAACGGCGGCCGUAACAAUAACGGUCCUAAGGUAGCGAAAUUCCUUGUCAGGUAAGGUCUGACCCGCACGAAAGGUGUAACGAUUUGGGCGCUGUCUCGGCAGCAGACUCGGUGAAAUCUUAGUACCUGUGAAAAUGCAGGUUACCCGCAACUAGACGGAAAGACCCCAUGGAGCUUUACUGCAGCCUGAUAUUGAAUUCUGGUCAUACAUGUACAGGAUAGGUGGGAGACAAAGAGACGUGCACGCCAGUGUACGAGGAGUCGACGUUGGGAUACCACUCUUGUGUGACUGGGGUUCUAACCUGGUAUCGAGAACAGGUACGGGGAGAGUGUCAGGUGGGCAGUUUGACUGGGGCGGUCGCCUCCCAAAGAGUAACGGAGGCGCCCAAAGGUACGCUCAGAUUGGAUGGAAACCAAUCGUCGAGUGCAAUUGCAGAAGCGUGCUUGACUGUGAGACAGACAAGUCGAACAGGGACGAAAGUCGGGAAUAGUGAUCCGGCGGUGCCGAAUGGAAGGGCCGUCGCUCAACGGAUAAAAGCUACCCUGGGGAUAACAGGCUGAUCUCGCCCAAGAGUUCACAUCGACGGCGAGGUUUGGCACCUCGAUGUCGGCUCAUCGCAUCCUGGAGCUGGAUUCGGUUCCAAGGGUUGGGCUGUCCGCCCAUUAAAGCGGUACGCGAGCUGGGUUCAGAACGUCGUGAGACAGUUCGGUCCCUAUCUGUUGUGGGCGAAGGAGAUCUGCGGAGAGCUGUCCUCAGUACGAGAGGACCGGGAUGGACCUACCGCUGGUGCACCGGUUGUUCCGCCAAGGGCAUAGCCGGGUAGCUAAGUAGGGAAAGGAUAAGCGCUGAAAGCAUCUAAGCACGAAGCCUACUCCAAGAUGAGAUCUCCCAUUCGCAAGAAGUAAGACCCCUUAAAGACGAUAAGGUAGAUAGGCCAGGGAUGGAAGUGCAGUGAUGUACGGAGUUGACUGGUACUAAUCGGUCGAGGACUUAACC
rnacentral:rRNA from 1 species